GUGCUCGCUUCGGCAGCACAUAUACUAAAAUUGGAACGACAGAGAAGAUUAGCCUGGCCCCUGCGCAAGGAUGACUCGCAAAUUUGUGAAGCGUUCCAUAUUUAA
rnacentral:snRNA from 1 species